rnacentral:rRNA from 1 species
AACGAACGCUGGCGGCAUGCCUAACACAUGCAAGUCGCACGGGAACCUGGGGCUUGCUCCAGGGGAGAGUGGCGCACGGGUGCAUAACACGUAGAUAACGUUCCCUUUAGUUUGGAAUAACCUGCCGAAAGGCGGGCUAAUACCGGAUAAGCUCCCUUGAGGUUCGCCGAUGGGGAGGAAAGCAGGGCAACUUGCGCUGAAGGAUCGGUCUGCGUCCCAUCAGCUAGUUGGGAGGUAACGGCCCACCAAGGCUACGACGGUAGCUGGUCUGAGAGGACGAUCAGCCACACUGGGACUGAGAUACGGCCCAGACUCCUACGGGAGGCAGCAGUGGGGAAUAUUGGACAAUGGGCGAAAGCCUGAUCCAGCAAUGCCGCGUGAGUGAUGAAGG